UUAAGAGACUGAACAACGGCUCAGCAAAGGAUAGGAUGACUGCCCUCAAAAGUGUGUGGCGCACUUCUUUCCUGAGGGCCCCUCAGCAUUGCUUCUGCCCAAGGGGUUGAAGAAAACUUGUUUUCACAGAUGGAAAGGUACAAGUAACAAUGUCUUGUAACAAAGGUGUCUUCUUUCUGCCUCCUUCCUAGUUAAAUGAAAUACAGAAACCCACAUCUGCUGUGUUCAUGAACAAAGAAAGCACUUUUGUGCUGGCUGAUCAGAUCAGCAGGCAGCAGGCCUCCUAACAAGCCAGCGCUGGCCACAUCCAAGAAGAGCUGGUGCAAAGUGAGAUGAAGUCUGCAGGACUGAGAAGAACAGUGUAUCCUCACGUGGCAGAAAUCAGGUUCUACAGAAGGAGAAAUUCUGAAACUGGAUGGCUUUUGAACAAAAUAUCACAAUUUUAAACACAGAUGGAUGCUGACCCUGCCUUCACAUGACCUACCUCUCUGGUAGGUGCCCUACCUCUCUGGUCCACCGCUA